UACGUAGGGUGCAAGCGUUGUCCGGAAUUAUUGGGCGUAAAGAGCUCGUAGGCGGUCUGUCGCGUCGGCUGUGAAAACCCGGAGCUCAACUCCGGGCCUGCAGUCGAUACGGGCAAACUGGAGUGUUGCAGGGGAGACUGGAAUUCCUGGUGUAGCGGUGAAAUGCGCAGAUAUCAGGAGGAACACCAAUAGCGAAGGCAGCUCGCUGGGACGGUAUUGACGCUGAGGCGCGAAAGCGUGGGGAGCAAACAGG
rnacentral:rRNA from 1 species